rnacentral:rRNA from 1 species
AACCCCUGCUGCCAGUUGCCAACGGGUAGAGCCGGGCACUCUGGCGGGACUGCCAUCGACAAGAUGGAGGAAGGUGGGGAUGACGUCAAGUCAUCAUGGCCCUUAUGUCCAGGCGACACACGUGCUACAAUGGCCGGCACAGCGGGAAGCGAGGCAGUGAUGCCAAGCGGAUCCCUUAAAGCCGGUCUCAGUUCGGAUUGAAGUCUGCAACUCGACUUCAUGAAGCUGGAAUCGCUAGUAAUCGCAGAUCAGCCAAGCUGCGGUGAAUACGUUCCCGGGCCUU